UACAGAGGGUGCGAGCGUUAAUCGGAAUUACUGGGCGUAAAGCGCGCGUAGACGGUUUUGUAAGUCAGAUGUGAAAUCCCUGGGCUCAACCUGGGAACUGCAUUUGAGACUGCAUGGCUAGAGUAUGGAAGAGGGAAGUGGAAUUUCCGGUGUAGCGGUGAAAUGCGUAGAUAUCGGAAGGAACACCAGUGGCGAAAGCGACUUCCUGGUCCAAUACUGACGUCAUGUGCGAAAGCGUGGGGAGCAAACAGG
rnacentral:rRNA from 1 species